CGUGGCACCGUGGUGACAGGUACACUAGAGCGUGGCAUUUUAAAGAAGGGAGAUGAGUGUGAGCUCCUAGGACAUAGCAAGAACAUCCGCACUGUGGUGACAGGUUCGGGAAGCCAGUCUGGAGAGCAGGGGCUGGCUGAAGGGUGGCCUUACCCCGGCAGAUCCCUUGUGCCUUCCCUCUGUCUCACAUUCGCCUUCCUUCUCCCUGCUCCUUUUCCCCUUCCGUCCUAGGCAUUGAGAUGUUCCACAAGAGCCUGGAGAGGGCCGAAGCCGGAGAUAACCUCGGGGCCCUGGUCCGAGGCUUGAAGCGGGAGGACUUGCGGCGGGGCCUGGUCAUGGUCAAGCCGGGUUCCAUCAAGCCCCACCAGAAGGUGGAGGCCCAGGUUUACAUCCUCAGCAAGGAGGAAGGUGGCCGCCACAAGCCCUUUGUGUCCCACUUCAUGCCUGUCAUGUUCUCCCUGACUUGGGACAUGGCCUGUCGGAUUAUCCUGCCCCCAGAGAAGGAGCUUGCCAUGCCCGGGGAGGACCUGAAGUUCAACCUAAUCUUGCGGCAGCCAAUGAUCUUAGAGAAAGGCCAGCGUUUCACCCUGCGAGAUGGCAACCGGACUAUUGGCACCGGUCUAGUCACCAACACGCUGGCCAUGACUGAGGAGGAGAAGAACAUCAAAUGGGGUUGAGUGUGCAGACCUCUGCUCAGCUUCCCUUGCGUUGAAGGCCUGCCCUAGCCAGGGCUCCCUCCUGCUUCCAGUACCCUCUCAUGGCAUAGGCUGCAACCCAGCAGAGGGCAGCUAGAUGGACAUUUCCCCUGCUCGGA
rnacentral:sRNA from 1 species